GGGAUCCUUCCGUCAGCAGUGACGCACAGCCCUGGCAGAGGGGCCGGGGUGCUGUGCCUUCGGUACCCUGCAUGAAGCUGGAUGAAGAGAAAACCCCCCAGGAACUCGAGUUCACUGCUGUUGGAAGAGGCAGGUGGUGGCGAGUGUCCAUCGGGGGUUGGGGUCCUUUUGGCAAGGUGACAGGAGCCGAUGGCCUGCCACCACCACCACAUCCCUGCUGAAGACCCAAGGCCCCGUCUUUCCAGACCCUAAACUCAAACCUGGACACCAAGAUCUCUUUCAUUCUCUUUGGGGAUGUCGUUUUCACAGCACAGCUUGUGAUUUCAGGGUAUUAUUCUGUUCAAGUGGGGGGAAAACAGGGAAAGUUUUCGGAUCCAGAGUUCAUCCAGAGGCAUCAAAGGGGAUUUUGGAAGUGAUGCAGCAUAGUGAAGCGAGCCUAGCGAUUGUUUGUAGUCCAGCGCUUGUCAUGCGAAGCUCCUGGUGUCUGUGUGGUGACUCAGGGGGGGAGAAUUUCCCCUUCGUGAGCCAGCUGGACAGUGUCAGCCCUGCUCUGUAGCAGGCCCUGGCACAGCGGAGCCGGGGCUAAGGGAAGUCUGCAGGGUUUGAGAGCUGAACCCAGUUUAACACACAUGAAAAGGGUGAUCUUCCUCUUAAACCAAUCAGCCAGACUCCUCCUAACCCCAAAGAGCCACUCCCAGCAUCUGCCACAGCCUCGUCCAAACGGGACAACUGCACCUAUUGUCAAGCUGAUGGCAGCUUGGCUCCCAUCAACACAUCGCAUGUCACAAGGCCAGGCUUUCUCCCGGCACACUCCAGUAGACAGACCCUCAUGAUCUGACGCAGUCCUCCCGUGCACCUCAGGGUUUCUCCUUCGCUCCUUUGUGUUGCUUAGUACUAAUCAUUUCUGUUACUAUUUCUGAGAUCUCUGGACUUGAUAUCAAGUAAGGUAAAGACUGCUUAAGAAGGAUACAGAAAAGGGCUGGGGAUUUAGCUCAGUGGUUCUGCCGCCUGCUUCGCAAGUACAAGGACCUGAGUUCGAUCCCUGGUACCAAAAAAAAAAAAAGGAUACAGAAAGCUAGCUGUAGAUGAACAGAUCUAUAAACUUCAAGAAUUUGGUCUGACAAUUGCACUUUGAGAACCAUUAGCAUAGGCCAAAACCAGCUAGUCCUGGCCACUGCUUCUCACCUCAGGUACAGGUGAGUGAAGAGGGAGAUGGAGGAGGGGGAUGGAUGGGUGGGAUGGACCAGCACCUGGCCUGUCACCUUAGGCCACUGUCUGAGCCGUUUACACCUCAGGUUUAAUUUAGGGCCAUGAUGGAUGUGUUACAUUUGAAUGGGCCAAUGAUAUUACAUUGGGUAUGAUGAGGAAAGAACUGUCAAGCAUACACCCAGCAGUAAGUAGUAAGCAGCCACUUUUGCUGAGGAUCACCGGAAGUUGUGCUCAGGGCCAGUUCAUCCCAACAAAGGUACAACACUGACCGGGAAAGGUGCCAGGCAACAGAAAAGCACGGCACACAGGUCGAAGGUCGCAAGAGCCACACACGAAAAAGCAGCCGAUAACUCAGGCUCUCAGAAUUUAAAGCCAGACGCCUCUGCUCUAGGUGCCUCUCCGACUCUCUAGGUGUGACUGACUGACAGCAUGCUGAGCCCUCUCAGGGGCUGUUAGUGCGCAUGCUCAUCCCAGGACUCAUGGAUCUUAAUUAUGCUUCUGAGCUGUGGUGCAUAUUUAUGAGCCUGUAAUGAGGUGGAAGGGGAGUAAAGAUGACUGGCUCAGGCUAGGAGAUCCAACGAGCAGGUGCUCUUCCCUAGGGAAUCAGAGAUCUUCUAAGCUUUUUUUUUGGUACUGGGGAUUGAACUCAGGACCUUGUGCUUGCAAGGCAGGCAGCGGAACCACUGAGCUAAGUCCCUGGCCCUCCUAAGCUUUUGUUAUUUUAUUUUCUACCUCUCAGGACAAUGGAAUCAGGAAUAACUGUAAGGUGCUGUUUUGAAUUAAAUGGAGGGAAGGCAGUGACUUCUCGGCUCCAUUGUUUCUACCUGCCCCAACAGCAUCUUCCAACUCAGGAAGGAAGAUGCAGACCACAUAUAGCCUGGAGCUGUGCAGCUGUGGAGCCAGUCUGCCCCAUGGGCUCUGUCUGCAUUAGCGCCUGGGCCACACACUUGCUGAGCUCUGUGCAGGGCGUCUGGAGUUGCACCUCCAGGCUGGGGCUGGGAUGCUGGCCCUGGCUGUCCACAAAGUCCCCUCAGGCAGAGCACAGUGGGCUCUGGUGGAACCCACCACAGUGCCCAGAGCUCAGCAGGAGGGGCAGGCUCAUGGGUGCCUCCCUUGUGCUUUCUGAGAACAGCAGGUACCCGUUGAAAUCCUGUCCCCUGCACAGCCUUAGAUGAGGGGCAGGAGGCACAUGGUGCAGCUGACGCUGCGCUGAGUCAUGUCACGUCCCAGGGGCUCAGGCCUGUAGGGACAGGGGACCCCAUGGGUAGGGGAAAGAGAAUGAAGGCCUCAUUCAGUUUUCUUAAAUCAGUAGGGAAAUUACUCAGAGCAGUUUCUGCCUCUACAGGCAGACUGCUGCUAGAGCAAUUAGAAAGACAAAGGAGGGAGAGAGAAGCUACACUGAGAGAGGCGCCAGGUAGGUAACACGAUUACCCUAAGAAUGUAUCUAGAAGAGUUCACCCUGAGGAAGCCAGAAACUCAACGACCAGGAAAGCCAGCUCCCCUCACCCACCUGAAAGAAUGCAAGGGAGAUAAGGGGCAGCCACCUAAGGACUCUUAUCUAGUAUGUAAGACACACACACACACACACACACACACACACAUGUACGUGUGUUUUCACUUUAACAUCACUAUAUACACACCAGAUACACACACUUGCACAUGUCCCCUUCAUCAAGUCUAAGCUAUCUUCCUACAACCCCCCCACACACACACACUUGUUCAUCACAAAGGAACAGGAAGAAAUCAAACUGCCAGAAAGAAUGUAGGCAACAUGCCUAGGUUAGGAUCAAAGACAGCCGGCCUAGAGAGCAGAUCAGAUGGUGACAGGGCCCACCUGGGAGAUGGGAAGACACUAGACCUAAAUAAAGACCCAGGGAUGAAAGCUGGGGUUGAGGGUAGUCAGCUUUAACAUCAGCUUUGAUGCCUCCUACCAUUCCACCGUGGUUGUCUAUCCUAUUUUGUUUCCAUCUUCUCCCAAAUAAACUUCUGUCUCUUAAUUCGUUACUGAAGCUGAGAGUUACAUUCCGUCCACAGCGUGUUCCAGACAAGGAGUGGUGCGUACAGCCCACCCUGCCACAACAAGGCCUACCUUGGAAAAUGCUCUGGGCAGAGAGCACCUCCUGGCUGAUAAUCCAGGUACAGAAGUUGGGGUUCUUCUGAUUGGCCCACAUGGUAGCCUGUGCCAGCUAGUGACCAGAAUUCUCUCUGAACCUGGAAUGACAGGAAAAACUGUCUCUCCAGUACUGUGGGAGAGUUCUAGUUAUUUCUCGUUCUUGCCAACAACUGGUAGUUUCUGUCUUCUCUGCCUUGGCCAUCUGAGUCUCAUAAAAAAAGAGAAGCCUUCCCCUUAUUAUAGACAGAUGAGGUAGGUAGAAAUUCAGGCAGUUAGACAGGGCCAGGUCCUCAACAGGUUACAAAGCUGAAACACACCACAGCUGCACUGGAGUCACAUCAGCUGAAAACCAGGCCUCGGGAUAAAGACAAGAUGACCAGACCCGCAAACUUCCUCAAAGAACAGACACUGGGCCUAAUGAAGUCUAGAUAGACAGCAGCCACCCGGUGGGUGACCAGAGACCUCUGGACCCACCGCUUCCUAGGAGAAUCUUUGUUCUUCCCGUGCACGCUUGUUACGUGACUUGUCUCCCGACUGGACCACCGUUACCUAAGUGACUGUACCUGUAACCUUAUUGGACAAUGUGGCUGUGGCCCACAUUGUUCCCAGGUGGGUUUCACCCUCUGUAAAGUGGGGUCCCCGGCUACCCUCUAGGGAGCCCUCCUGCCCCUCCGGAGCUUUCCUAUCAAUAAAUAUCUUCCUGCUCUUAA
ensembl:lncRNA